rnacentral:sRNA from 12 species
AUAAGGAGGGCUCCAAAUGAUGCGCAGCAUCAUUUAUCUGAUGAGCCCGUGACAUGCCGCCGAAGCUUCAGCUGAGGGGGCGAUACCGCAA